rnacentral:rRNA from 1 species
UACGGGGGGGAGCAAGCGUUUGUUCGGAUUUACUGGGCGUAAAGGGCGCGUAGGCGGCCACCGCAAGUCGACUGUGAAAAUCUCCGGGCUUAACCCGGAAAGGUCAGCCGAUACUGCGGGGCUAGAGUGCAGAAGGGGCAACUGGAAUUCUCGGUGUAGCGGUGAAAAUGCGUAGAUAUCGGGGAGGAACACCAGAGGCGAAGGCGGGGUUACUGGGGCUGAUACUGACGCUGAUGCGCGAAAAGCCAGGGGGAGCAAACGGGG